rnacentral:rRNA from 1 species
AAAUUGAAGAGUUUGAUCAUGGCUCAGAUUGAACGCUGGCGGCAGGCCUAACACAUGCAAGUCGAACGGUAACAGGAAGCAGCUUGCUGCUUCGCUGACGAGUGGCGGACGGGUGAGUAAUGUCUGGGAAACUGCCUGAUGGAGGGGGAUAACUACUGGAAACGGUGGCUAAUACCGCAUAACGUCGCAAGACCAAAGAGGGGGACCUUCGGGCCUCUUGCCAUCAGAUGUGCCCAGAUGGGAUUAGCUUGUUGGUGAGGUAACGGCUCACCAAGGCGACGAUCCCUAGCUGGUCUGAGAGGAUGACCAGCCACACUGGAACUGAGACACGGUCCAGACUCCUACGGGAGCAGCAGUGGGGAAUAUUGCACAAU